rnacentral:rRNA from 1 species
GCUCGUGGAUCGAUGAAGACCGCAGCUAAAUGCGCGUCAGAAUGUGAACUGCAGGACACAUGAACACCGACAAGUUGAACGCAUAUUGCACAUCGUACAACAGUACGAUGUACACAUUUUUGAGUGCCUAUAUUUAUCUAUUCAACUAUACGUGCGCCCCACGUAUGCGUAGUGACGCUUUUCCCGCCUUCGGUGGCGGUAAAACGUUCAAGCCCGUCAGACGCGCCGCGCUCUCCGCCGAGAGCUGCGCGCGGUUGAUGAGUACAUACCACGCUUCGCCUCGCCGCGAACCAGUUGUGCUCUAUCGACAAACGACACACCCUCGAUAUAUUCAGUAGGCCUCAAAUAAUGUGUGACUACCCCCUAAAUUUAAGCA